rnacentral:rRNA from 1 species
UACGUAGGGUGCGAGCGUUAAUCGGAAUUACUGGGCGUAAAGCGUGCGCAGGCGGUUGUGCAAGACAGGUGUGAAAUCCCCGGGCUUAACCUGGGAACUGCACUUGUGACUGCACGGCUAGAGUACGGUAGAGGGGGAUGGAAUUCCGCGUGUAGCAGUGAAAUGCGUAGAUAUGCGGAGGAACACCGAUGGCGAAGGCAAUCCCCUGGGCCUGCACUGACGCUCAUGCACGAAAGCGUGGGGAGCAAACAGG